CAAUAACUAAGUACUUGAAGAUAAGAGGAUGAUAUAAGAAUAGUUGCUGCAUCUACAAUCCAACCCUAAGGUUAUUUGUUCCUUUUGAUCCAAGUGGAAGACUAACCUUGGCUAUGGCAUAGAAGGACCUGUGGAGUUCUACAUGAAAUACAGGAAACAAACUCGUAGACCAACUGGAGACCCUGUGAGGACCCAAUGAGCCAAUUUGCAAGCCAAGAAGAGAGUCCGCAGGAGAAACCAACCCUGCUGAUACCUUCUCUACCUAUUUUAUAUUCCCUCAAUUACAUGACUUGAUGGAUUUCCAGCCUCCAGAACUGUGACAAAAUAAAUUUUUGUUAUUUAA